UCAGGAAAUGUUAAAACAUUAAAAAGCAUGGCCUGUAACCUUAACCAAUUCAAGCUAUUUAGCAGAAUGAGUAAGACCACACUCCACAGUAGGCUACACCACUUAGUUCAUUACUAUAUUAUGGCCUACACU